UACGUAGGGGGCAAGCGUUGUCCGGAUUUAUUGGGCGUAAAGAGCGUGUAGGCGGCCAAACAGGUCAGCUGUGAAAACUCGAGGCUCAACCUCGAGACGUCGGUUGAAACCGUAUGGCUAGAGUCCGGAAGAGGAGAGUGGAAUUCCCGGUGUAGCGGUGAAAUGCGCAGAUAUCGGGAGGAACACCCGUAGCGAAGGCGGCCGACUGGACCACACCUGACGCUGAGGCGCGAAGGCCAGGGGAGCGAACGGG
rnacentral:rRNA from 1 species